GGAGGUAGCUCAAUGGUAGAGUAAUUGCCUAGCAUGCAAGAGGCCUUGAGUUCAAUCUUAAAUUUCCA
rnacentral:tRNA from 1 species